GGCUUAGCUGUCUCCUUUUUCUAGCCAAUGAAAUUGAUCUUUCCGUGCAGAAGCGGGAAUAACAACAUAAGACGAGAAGACCCUAUGGAGCUUUAGACACUAAGACAGAUCACGUCAAACACCCCAGCUUAAUGGGCCGAACUAAGUGAACCCUGUCCUAAUGUCUUUGGUUGGGGCGACCCUGGGGAGACAAAUAACCCCCAUGUGGAGUGGAAACACCAUAUUUCCAGAACUAAGAGCUAACCGCUCUAAGGAACAGAAUUUCUGACCAUUUUAGAUCCGGCUACUGCCGAUCGGCGGACCGAGUUA
rnacentral:rRNA from 1 species